AAAUUUAUGUCUACAAUUAUCAUCAGAACUUAUCCAGAAUGUUUGGUGGAAGUACCUUCGUAUUGGUAUGCGUGGCCCUGUUCUUGGUAGCCCCAAGUGAAGGCAUAAGAUCCAACAAUGGUGGAUGUUUAUGUCCUCAAUACUGGGAUCCUGUGUGUGGCGUAGAUGGGCAGACGUACAUAAAUACAGGAUGCCUGGCAUGCGCUGGUGUCCCAAUGGCGUGUAGGGGAGAAUGCCCUUGCUACGGACGCUAAUAAACAUAAAAGAAACGACACUUUAAAACAAUGUCACCCGUGACCUAAAAGUCUAGUGCAUAGGUUUCUUAUGUCUGUAAAAUGAAUUUCCUUGCUAAAUAAAAA